AAGUCGUAACAAGGUUUCCGUAGGUGAACCUGCGGAAGGAUCAUUACCCAUUGCAGUUGACUCGCCCUUUUGGGUGGGUUGGAUUGCUCGGACCUCGUGUCUGAACCCUUGUCUAUACGUACCUUUUGUUGUUUCCUCGGCAGGACGCUGCCGACGGAACCCCCAUAAACCCUUUGCAUCAGUAUCCAAUUAUCCGAUAACAAAUAAAUUAUUACAA
rnacentral:misc_RNA from 1 species